AGGCGACAAAGGUCACCCGGAUGACCAACGGACGUAUCAUGAUUGAAUACGACGAUCAGCAUCAGGCUGCACCAACAACGAAGCAGCAUAGCGCAUUGGACCAUGACAUUAGUCACGUCGUUCGGUCCGAUGGAAGUCUUGGAAGGCGAUAUCGGACGAGGUGAGGACGAAGGUGCGCGAUUAUUUGUCGACGAACUACAAUUUCGACGACAUCAACGACAAUAUGUUGGCGUACCUCAACAGGCUCUUCGCUGAACAAUACAAGCAGUGGAAGAGCAACCUACACUAAUAUUUUGAGACGUUUGCUGAUCCACAUGUUGCUUUGGAGGAAGGUUGGGCGAAGGAGUUUGAGGAUCAGGAAGAAAAUUGGGUGUGGCUCUGCAGUCAUUUUUAGGAGUCCGACUAUGUGAUGAAGGUGAAAGCCAACAAGAUCAAUCUGGAGAAGAAGACUCUUCUCCACCAUUCGGGUUCGAGGCCCUUCUCAUAUAGGAUGAAGGCACAAUGGUAGG